CCUGGAAGGAGUAUUCAAGGACUGUCAUCAUGCAAUCAUCCAUAACUGAUGUGAUACAACCAGCCGGGUGGCACGAGUGGAGUGGCACCUUUGCACUGAGCACAUUGUUUUAUGCAGAGUAUCAGAAUUCUGGGUCUGGUGCUGGGACCUCCAGUAGGGUCACAUGGGAAGGAUACAAAGUGAUUACAAGUGCAACUGAGGCUCAAGCGUUCGCCCCUGGAAAUUUCAUUGCUGGCAGUAGCUGGUUGGGAUCUACCUCCUUCCCCUUCUCUCUUGGUUUGUAAAUUAUAUGUAUUCUCUUCGUGGCGCAACCAUGUUGCAUGUACUUGUAGCAGUGUUGAUCGGGUGUCUUGUGUGGCCAGUGAGCACGUGUUUUCACAUGUUGUGUUUUCUAAGCCUACGAA
rnacentral:lncRNA from 1 species